GCACGAAAGGCGUAACGAUUUGGGCACUGUCUCAACGAGAGACUCGGUGAAAUUUUAGUACCUGUGAAGAUGCAGGUUACCCGCGACAGGACGGAAAGACCCCAUGGAGCUUUACUGUAGUUUGAUAUUGAGUGUUUGUACCACAUGUACAGGAUAGGUAGGAGCCGAUGAGACCGGAACGCUAGUUUCGGAGGAGGCGUUGGUGGGAUACUACCCUUGUGUUAUGAACCCUCUAACCCGCACCACUAAUCGUGGUGGGAGACAGUGUCAGAUGGGCAGUUUGACUGGGGCGGUCGCCUCCUAAAAGGUAACGGAGGCGCCCAAAGGUUCCCUCAGAAUGGUUGGAAAUCAUUCGAAGAGUGUAAAGGCAGAAGGGAGCUUGACUGCGAGACCUACAAGUCGAGCAGGGACGAAAGUCGGGCUUAGUGAUCCGGUGGUUCCGCAUG
rnacentral:rRNA from 1 species